AUCUUUUCUUAGUAAGUCAAACAUAGGAAUAAUAUAUAUGUACAGCAACAUUCUACUCCAUUUUAGAGGUCAUUCAUAUGAAUUCCCCUCUUCAUUCUUGGAGAAUUUUCUCUCCAGAAUAUCCGAAGAAACAUUGGGGUGAAGAAGAACCUCUCUCGCGUGGAAGCAAAUACGGAGAACGACAUCAAGAUUAUAAUAAUGUCGGUUUCUCCGGGUGAUAGCAAAUUAGAGAUUUUUUCAAAGUAAAGUAAAAUUGAAGGAUAGCAGUUCUUGGCAUAUAAGGAUUAGCAUCAGCAUUACGACGAGUUCGUUUUGGGUUUUAUAUUGGCAACUUAAGAUAUGACUUAGUUGCAUAUGGUUGCUCACUACUCUGCUCGUGCAUGCCGUAAUAUAUCUUUCACCGAGUCCCGGGCCGGAUUGUUCAAGCUUCGACGGUGAACAUUAAGUAGUUAAGAAGACCAAGAGAUUGGUGAAGCCCAAGACCUAAGUUAUGGUUAACUUGAGAAGAGACAAGGUACAGAUAGUCGGUUUGGUGACCCUUCAGCAUAGGAUUUCUACUCAGCUAUUUUGGAGAGCUCCGUUGUUCCGGAGUCUAGACUUUUGAUUCAGAUCUUAUGAUGUAUAUGUAGAUGUUUAUCCAGGGGUACGGCGGGGCCCUGUCCCGUCAUAUUUCGCUAUCGAUACUCUUAGAGGUCUGUAGACAUAUGUGUGGGUUGUGUAUAAGUUCUGCUCAGCUGUGUCUAUACGAUGUGCUAUGAUAUGAUGUUCGUCUGUAGUGGCAGCCUUGUCGGCUUGCAUAUGACAUUGAUAUGUAGUGGCAGCCUUGUCGGCUUGCAUAUGACAUUGAUAUGUAGUGGCAGCCUUGUCGGCUUGCGUAUCAUUUCAUGAUUUGAUUUGUUUUGACUCCGUAGGAGACA